AACUAUGAGACAGGUGCUGCAUGGCUGUCGUCAGCUCGUGUUGUGAAAUGUUGGGUUAAGUCCCGCAACGAGCGCAACCCUUAUCCUUUGUUGCCAGCGGUUCGGCCGGGAACUCAAAGGAGACUGCCAGUGAUAAACUGGAGGAAGGUGGGGAUGACGUCAAGUCAUCAUGGCCCUUACGACCAGGGCUACACACGUGCUACAAUGGCACAUACAAAGAGAAGCGACCUCGCGAGAGCAAGCGGACCUCAUAAANUAUGUCGUAGUCCGGAUUGGAGUCUGCAACUCGACUCCAUGAAGUCGGAAUCGCUAGUAAUCGUAGAUCAGAAUGCUACGGUGAAUACGUUCCCGGGCCUUGUACACACCGCCCGUCACACCAUGGGAGUGGGUUGCUACAGAAGUAGGUAGCUUAACUUUCGGGAGGGCGCGUAGCACUNUGUGAUUCGAAGUAGCGUG
rnacentral:rRNA from 1 species